rnacentral:tRNA from 1 species
UCCCUGGAGGACUAGUGGUUAGGUCUCGGCGCUCUCACCACCGCCGUGGCCCGGGUUCGAUUCCCACGAAUGAGAG